UGCCAAUCAGCUGCUGUUUAACAUUUAUGUGAACUCCUGGAACGUGGCUUCUGAUUUUGAUCCUGGUCAGAAAGUUCAGGGAAUUUUGGCCACAGCUUAUUACAAUGACUAUGUUACUCCAACCGCUAAAAGUAAUAGGCUUAACGUUAGUGUGGGCCCAUCUCGAAGGAGUGCUUAUCCUAAUGCUUUCCUAAAUGGACUGGAACUUCUGAAGUUGAAUAAUUCUCAGGGCAGCCUUAGUCAGGUAGGUUCUGUUCCUACUAACCCGAGUUCAAAGGCAAAGAAGAAUGUCGGAGUCAUCGUGGGUGUGUGUAUAGGUGUCCCAGUUUUGUUGGUGAUGGUUGGCAUCUUAUUUUGCAUGCAUAGAAGAAGAAAACAAAAAAAGUUAGCCCAGUCAAAAAUAUGGAUUCCUUUAUCUAUGAAUGGUGGCACUUCACACACCAUGGGAAGCAAGUAUUCAAACGGAACAACCAUAAGUGCUGCUUCAAACAUGAGUUAUCGCGUUCCUUUUGCAGCUUUGCUGGAAGCAACGAGCAACUUCGAUGAGAGUUUGGUCAUUGGAAUAGGUGGCUUUGGGAAGGUAUACAAGGGUGUUUUGUAUGAUGGUACAAAGGUGGCUGUGAAAAGGGGUAAUCCCAAGUCCCAACAAGGUCUUGCAGAGUUCCGAACGGAAAUUGAGAUGCUUUCUCAGUUCCGCCAUCGGCAUCUGGUUUCAUUGAUGGGAUACUGUGAUGAAAAAAAUGAAAUGAUUCUAGUUUAUGAAUAUAUGGAGAAUGGGACCCUCAAAAGCCAUCUGUAUGGGUCAGAUCUACCCUGUAUGAGCUGGAAGCAGAGGCUGGAGAUAUGCAUCGGGUCGGCCAGAGGUCUGCACUACCUUCAUACUGGCUAUGCUAAGGCAGUAAUACAUCGUGAUGUCAAGUCCGCAAACAUACUGCUUGAUGAGAGUUUUAUGGCAAAAGUUGCUGAUUUUGGACUAUCCAAGACAGGGCCUGAGCUUGAUCAAACUCAUGUUAGCACAGCCGUGAAAGGAAGUUUUGGCUACCUAGAUCCUGAAUAUUUUAGAAGGCA
rnacentral:misc_RNA from 1 species